UGGCAAGGAUGAUAUUAUGUAAAUGAAUCAGCAUGAUUGUUUUGUACGCUAUUCUGAGCCAGUU